GUGCCAGCCGCCGCGGUAAUACGUAGGUGGCAAGCGUUGUCCGGAAUUAUUGGGCGUAAAGCGCGCGCAGGCGGGAUAACAAGUCUGUUGUCAAAGUUCGGGGCUUAACCCCGUGACGCGAUGGAAACUGUUAUUCUUGAGUGUCGGAGAGGAAAGCGGAAUUCCCAGUGUAGCGGUGAAAUGCGUAGAUAUUGGGAGGAACACCAGUGGCGAAGGCGGCUUUCUGGACGAUGUCUGACGCUGAGGCGCGAAAGCCAGGGAAGUGAACGGGAUUAGAUACCCCGGUAAUCCUGGCUGUAAACGAUGGGUACUAGGUGUAGGGGGUAUCGACCCCUCCUGUGCCGGAGUUAACGCAAUAAGUACCCCGCCUGGGGAAUACGGCCGCAAGGUUGAA
rnacentral:rRNA from 1 species